rnacentral:rRNA from 1 species
CCCUUAGAUGUUCUGGGCUGCACGCGUACUACACUGAUAUUGCCAAUAUGUCAUUCUUAUCCGAAAUGGAUUGGGUAAUCAAGUAAUGAAAUUUCAUGCUUGGAAUCGGUAAUUGCAAUUUUAUCGUGAACGAGGAAUUCCUAGUAAGCACUAGUCAUCAGCUAAUGUUGAUUAUGUCCCUGCCCUUUGUACACACCGCCCGUCGCUACUACUGAUUGGGUGUUCAAGUGAGAUGCUUAGACCCUUGUUGCAUGGUUCAUUAUUGUGCUCCGAAAGGAAAAAGUUUCAAGCUUGAGUGUCUAGAGGAAGUAAAAGUCGUAACA